UGCAGCAGCUGCAUGCGUGG
rnacentral:misc_RNA from 1 species